rnacentral:rRNA from 1 species
ACAAGCGGCGGAGCAUGCGGAUAAUUCGAUGCAACGCGAAGAACCUUACCAAGGCUUGACAUACACCGGUAACGCCCAGAGAUGGGUGCCCCUUUGUGGUCGGUGUACAGGUGGUGCAUGGUUGUCGUCAGCUCGUGUCGUGAGAUGUUGGGUUAAGUCCCGCAACGAGCGCAACCCUCGUCCUAUGUUGCCAGCGGGUCAUGCCGGGGACUCAUGGGAGACUGCCGGGGUCAACUCGGAGGAAGUGGGGAUGACGUCAAAUCAUCAUGCCCCUUAUGUCUUGGGCUUCACGCAUGCUACAAUGGCCGGUACAAAGGGCUGCGAUACCGCGAGGUGGAGCGAAUCCCAGAAAGCCGGUCUCAGUUCGGAUUGGGGUCUGCAACUCGACCCCAUGAAGUCGGAGUCGCUAGUAAUCGCAGAUCAGCAACGCUGCGGUGAAUACGUUCCCGGGCCUU